rnacentral:rRNA from 1 species
CGAUUGGAUUGCACGUCUAAGCAGUAAGGCUGAGUAUUAGGCAAAUCCGGUACUCGUUAAGGCUGAGCUGUGAUGGGGAGAAGACAUUGUGUCUUCGAGUCGUUGAUUUCACACUGCCGAGAAAAGCCUCUAGAUAGAAAAUAGGUGCCCGUACCGCAAACCGACACAGGUAGUCAAGAUGAGAAUUCUAAGGUGAGCGAGCGAACUCUCGUUAAGGAACUCGGCAAAAUGACCCCGUAACUUCGGGAGAAGGGGUGCUCUUUAGGGUUAACGCCCAGAAGAGCCGCAGUGAAUAGGCCCAAGCGACUGUUUAUCAAAAACACAGGUCUCUGCUAAACCGUAAGGUGAUGUAUAGGGGCUGACGCCUGCCCGGUGCUGGAAGGUUAAGAGGAGUGGUUAGCUUCUGCGAAGCUACGAAUCGAAGCCCCAGUAAACGGCGGCCGUAACUAUAACGGUCCUAAGGUAGCGAAAUUCCUUGUCGGGUAAGUUCCGACCCGCACGAAAGGCGUAACGAUUUGGGCACUGUCUCAACGAGAGACUCGGUGAAAUCAUAGUACCUGUGAAGAUGCAGGUUACCCGCGACAGGACGGAAAGACCCCGUGGAGCUUUACUGUAGCCUGAUAUUGAAAUUCGGCACAGCUUGUACAGGAUAGGUAGGAGCCUUUGAAACGUGAGCGCUAGCUUACGUGGAGGCGCUGGUGGGAUACUACCCUAGCUGUGUU